GACGUAGGGCGCGAGCGUUGUCCGGAUUUAUUGGGCGUAAAGAGCUCGUAGGCGGCUUGUCGCGUCGACUGUGAAAUCCCGCGGCUCAACUGCGGGUCUGCAGUCGAUACGGGCAGGCUAGAGUUCGGUAGGGGAGACUGGAAUUCCAGGUGUAGCGGUGAAAUGCGUAGAUAUCUGGAGGAACACCGGUGGCGAAGGCGGCAUCCUGGACCGAUACUGACGCUGAGGAGCGAAAGCGUGGGGGAGCAAACAGG
rnacentral:rRNA from 1 species